rnacentral:lncRNA from 1 species
AUGUUUGGAGCCCUUUAUGCCCUGAAGAUGAAGGAGGAGAAUGUCCUCACAUUCCUUCCAGCAGGAAUCCACUUAGGUGGCACCCACCUUGACUUCCAAAUGAUACACUACAAAAGGAAAAGUGAUGGCAUCUACAUGAUAAAUCUGAAGAGGACCUGCAAGAAGCUUUGGCUGGCAGCUUGUGCCAUUGUUGCCAUUUGGAAACUCAGCUGCUGUCAGUGUCACAUCCUCCAGGAAUGUCAGCCAGCAGGCUAUGCUGAAGUUUGCUGCUGCCACUGGAGCCACUCUUAUUUCUGGUUCCUUUGCUAACCAGAUCCAGGUAGCCUUCUGGGAGCCAUGUCUUCUGAUGGUUACUGAUCCCAGGGCUGACCACACACCUUUCACAGGGCUAUCGUAUGUUAAACUGACUACCAUUGCUCUGUGUCACACAUACUCUCCUCUACGCUAUGUGAUCAUCACCAUCUCAUGCAAUGACAAGGGGGCUCACUCAGUGGGUCCAAUGUGGUGGAUCUUGGCCUGGGAAGUUCUGCACAUGCACGGCACCAUCUUCUGUGAGCACCCAUGGGAGGUCAUGCCUGAUGACUACUUCUGCAGA